rnacentral:rRNA from 1 species
UACGAGUGCCUCAAGCGUUUAUCCGGAAUCAUUGGGCGUAAAGGAUGUGUAGGUGGCCGCAUUAGUCUUUUGUUAAAUUUCCCGGCUUAACUGGGACCUGCAGAAGAAACGGUGCGGCUAGAGGAUGCAAGGGGUCUGUGGAAUUCAUAGUGUAGCGGUGAAAUGCGUUGAUAUUAUGGAGAACACCAAAAGCGAAGGCAACAGACUGGGGGCAUUCCUGACACUGAAACAUGAAAGCGUGGGUAGCGAAUGGG